GACGAACGCUGGCGGCGUGCUUAACACAUGCAAGUCGAGCGAUGAAAGCCUUAUGAACUAUUCGUAGUGAUUGAGGCCGGAUUAGCGGCGGACGGGUGAGUAACGCGUGAGCAACCUGCCUUAAACAACGGGAUAGCCUCGGGAAACCGGGAUUAAUACCGUAUGAGACCCCGCCUUCACAUGAAGAAGAGGUUAAAGAUUUAUCGGUUUAAGAUGGGCUCGCGUCUGAUUAGCUAGUUGGUGAGAUAAAAGCCCACCAAGGCAACGAUCAGUAACCGGCUUGAGAGAGUGAACGGUCACAUUGGAACUGAGACACGGUCCAAACUCCUACGGGAGGCAGCAGUGGGGAAUAUUGCACAAUGGGGGAAACCCUGAUGCAGCGACGCCGCGUGAGCGAUGAAGGAAUUCGUUUCGUAAAGCUCUGUCCAAGGGGAAGAUAAUGACAGUACCCUUGGAGGAAGCCCCGGCUAAAUACGUGCCAGCCGCCGCUGUAA
rnacentral:rRNA from 1 species